AUUAACUUUGACAAAAAAAAAAACACAUGGUUAACUAAUCUAAACUUAAAACAUCAACUCUAAACCCUAAACCAUGAAACAUCAACCCUAAACCUUAAACCCCGAAACAUCAACUCUAAACCUUAAACGUAAACCCUAAACCCUAAAUCUAAAUUUAAAACAACAACUCUAAACCCUAAAUCAUCAACUCUAAACCUUAAACCAUGAAACAUCAACUCUAAAACCUAAACCCCGAAACAUCAAUUCUAAACACUAAACUCUAAACCUUCGAAUCUAAACCUUAAAAUAUCAACCCUAAACCCUAAAACCCUAAACCUUCAAAUCUAAACCCUAAAACAUCAACUCUAAACCCUAAACGUAAACCCUAAACCCUAAACCUUCAAAUCUAAACCCUAAAACAUUAACUCUAGGGUUUUAGGGUUUAGGGUUUAGAGUUUAGGGUUUAGGGUUUAGGGUUUAGAGUUUAUGGU
rnacentral:lncRNA from 1 species